rnacentral:rRNA from 1 species
UUAAGGGCGCACGGUGGAUGCCUUGGCACUAGAAGCCAAUGAAGGACGUUACUAACGACGAUAUGCUUUGGGGAGCUGUAAGUAAGCUUUGAUCCAGAGAUUUCCGAAUGGGGAAACCCAGCAUGAGUUAUGUCAUGUUAUCGAUAUGUGAAUACAUAGCAUAUCAGAAGGCACACCCGGAGAACUGAAACAUCUUAGUACCCGGAGGAAGAGAAAGAAAAUUCGAUUCCCUUAGUAGCGGCGAGCGAAACGGGAAGAGCCCAAACCAACAAGCUUGCUUGUUGGGGUUGUAGGACACUCUAUACGGAGUUACAAAGGACGACAUUAGACGAAUCAUCUGGAAAGAUGAAUCAAAGAAGGUAAUAAUCCUGUAGUCGAAAAUGUUGUCUCUCUUGAGUGGAUCCUGAGUACGACGGAGCACGUGAAAUUCCGUCGGAAUCUGGGAGGACCAUCUCCUAAGGCUAAAUACUCUCUAGUGACCGAUAGUGAACCAGUACCGUGAGGGAAAGGUGAAAAGCACCCCGGAAGGGGAGUGAAAUAGAACCUGAAACCGUGUGCUUACAAGUAGUCAGAGCCCGUUAAUGGGUGAUGGCGUGCCUUUUGUAGAAUGAACCGGCGAGUUACGAUUUGAUGCAAGGUUAAGCAGUAAAUGUGGAGCCGUAGCGAAAGCGAGUCUGAAUAGGGCGUUUAGUAUUUGGUCGUAGACCCGAAACCAGGUGAUCUACCCUUGGUCAGGUUGAAGUUCAGGUAACACUGAAUGGAGGACCGAACCGACUUACGUUGAAAAGUGAGCGGAUGAACUGAGGGUAGCGGAGAAAUUCCAAUCGAACCUGGAGAUAGCUGGUUCUCUCCGAAAUAGCUUUAGGGCUAGCCUCAAGUGAUGAUUAUUGGAGGUAGAGCACUGUUUGGACGAGGGGCCCCUCUCGGGUUACCGAAUUCAGACAAACUCCGAAUGCCAAUUAAUUUAACUUGGGAGUCAGAACAUGGGUGAUAAGGUCCGUGUUCGAAAGGGAAACAGCCCAGACCACCAGCUAAGGUCCCAAAAUAUAUGUUAAGUGGAAAAGGAUGUGGCGUUGCCCAGACAACUAGGAUGUUGGCUUAGAAGCAGCCAUCAUUUAAAGAGUGCGUAAUAGCUCACUAGUCGAGUGACACUGCGCCGAAAAUGUACCGGGGCUAAACAUAUUACCGAAGCUGUGGAUUGUCCUUUGGACAAUGGUAGGAGAGCGUUCUAAGGGCGUUGAAGCAUGAUCGUAAGGACAUGUGGAGCGCUUAGAAGUGAGAAUGCCGGUGUGAGUAGCGAAAGACGGGUGAGAAUCCCGUCCACCGAUUGACUAAGGUUUCCAGAGGAAGGCUCGUCCGCUCUGGGUUAGUCGGGUCCUAAGCUGAGGCCGACAGGCGUAGGCGAUGGAUAACAGGUUGAUAUUCCUGUACCACCUAUAAUCGUUUUAAUCGAUGGGGGGACGCAGUAGGAUAGGCGAAGCGUGCGAUUGGAUUGCACGUCUAAGCAGUAAGGCUGAGUAUUAGGCAAAUCCGGUACUCGUUAAGGCUGAGCUGUGAUGGGGAGAAGACAUUGUGUCUUCGAGUCGUUGAUUUCACACUGCCGAGAAAAGCCUCUAGAUAGAAAAUAGGUGCCCGUACCGCAAACCGACACAGGUAGUCAAGAUGAGAAUUCUAAGGUGAGCGAGCGAACUCUCGUUAAGGAACUCGGCAAAAUGACCCCGUAACUUCGGGAGAAGGGGUGCUCUUUAGGGUUAACGCCCAGAAGAGCCGCAGUGAAUAGGCCCAAGCGACUGUUUAUCAAAAACACAGGUCUCUGCUAAACCGUAAGGUGAUGUAUAGGGGCUGACGCCUGCCCGGUGCUGGAAGGUUAAGAGGAGUGGUUAGCUUCUGCGAAGCUACGAAUCGAAGCCCCAGUAAACGGCGGCCGUAACUAUAACGGUCCUAAGGUAGCGAAAUUCCUUGUCGGGUAAGUUCCGACCCGCACGAAAGGCGUAACGAUUUGGGCACUGUCUCAACGAGAGACUCGGUGAAAUCAUAGUACCUGUGAAGAUGCAGGUUACCCGCGACAGGACGGAAAGACCCCGUGGAGCUUUACUGUAGCCUGAUAUUGAAAUUCGGCACAGCUUGUACAGGAUAGGUAGGAGCCUUUGAAACGUGAGCGCUAGCUUACGUGGAGGCGCUGGUGGGAUACUACCCUAGCUGUGUUGGCUUUCUAACCCGCACCACUUAUCGUGGUGGGAGACAGUGUCAGGCGGGCAGUUUGACUGGGGCGGUCGCCUCCUAAAAGGUAACGGAGGCGCUCAAAGGUUCCCUCAGAAUGGUUGGAAAUCAUUCAUAGAGUGUAAAGGCAUAAGGGAGCUUGACUGCGAGACCUACAAGUCGAGCAGGGUCGAAAGACGGACUUAGUGAUCCGGUGGUUCCGCAUGGAAGGGCCAUCGCUCAACGGAUAAAAGCUACCCCGGGGAUAACAGGCUUAUCUCCCCCAAGAGUUCACAUCGACGGGGAGGUUUGGCACCUCGAUGUCGGCUCAUCGCAUCCUGGGGCUGUAGUCGGUCCCAAGGGUUGGGCUGUUCGCCCAUUAAAGCGGUACGCGAGCUGGGUUCAGAACGUCGUGAGACAGUUCGGUCCCUAUCCGUCGUGGGCGUAGGAAAUUUGAGAGGAGCUGUCCUUAGUACGAGAGGACCGGGAUGGACAUACCUCUGGUGUACCAGUUGUCGUGCCAACGGCAUAGCUGGGUAGCUAUGUGUGGACGGGAUAAGUGCUGAAAGCAUCUAAGCAUGAAGCCCCCCUCAAGAUGAGAUUUCCCAACUUCGGUUAUAAGAUCCCUCAAAGAUGAUGAGGUUAAUAGGUUCGAGGUGGAAGCAUGGUGACAUGUGGAGCUGACGAAUACUAAUCGAUCGAAGACUUAAUC